GACGAACGCUGGCGGCGUGCUUAACACAUGCAAGUCGAACGGAAAGGCCCUGCUUUUGUGGGGUGCUCGAGUGGCGAACGUGUGAGUAACACGUGAGUAACCUGCCCUUGACUUUGGGAUAACUUCAGGAAACUGGGGCUAAUACCGGAUAGGAGCUCCUGCUGCAUGUUGGGGGUUGGAAAGUUUCGGCGGUUGGGGAUGGACUCGCGGGUUAUCAGCUUUUUGGUGGGGUAGUUGCUUACCAAGGCUUUGACGGGUAGCCGGCAUGAGAGGGUGACCGGCGAAAUUGGGACUGAGAUACGGCCCAGAAUCGAACGGGAGGCAGCAGUGGGGAAGAGUGCACAAUGGGAGGAAGCAUGAUGCAGCAACGCCGCGUGCGGGAUGACGGCCUUCGGGUUGUAAACAGCUUUCGCCUGUGACGAAGAGGGAGUGACGGUAAUGGGUAAAGAAGCACCGGCUAACUACGUG
rnacentral:rRNA from 1 species